rfam:TPA: Bos taurus chromosome 13, whole genome shotgun sequence.
UCCCUGGUAGCUCAGCCGGUAAAGAAUCUGGCUUCAAUCCAGGAGAUCCUGGUUUGAUUCCUGGGUUGGGAA